UACGUAGGGGGCGAGCGUUGUCCGGAUUUAUUGGGCGUAAAGGGCUUGUAGGUGGCCACGUCAAGUCGGAUGUGAAAUCUCCCGGCUCAACUGGGAGGGGUCAUUCGAUACUGAUCGACUCGAAGGCAGGAGAGGGUAGUGGAAUUCCCGGUGUAGUGGUGAAAUGCGUAGAUAUCGGGAGGAACACCAGUGGCGAAGGCGACUACCUGGCCUGUUCUUGACGCUGAGGCGCGAAAGCUAGGGGAGCAAACGGG
rnacentral:rRNA from 1 species